AAAUCAAUUGAUGAGAAAAAAAACUGCAACAAUAUGAUUGGUUAGUUUGGUUAGUUCCAUUAUUCGUAGUAUUUAAGUCUCUGAUGAUU